ensembl:lncRNA
UCUUGGCUUAUUCAGAUAUAUUUAUUUUCAUCUCAUUUACAAAUAAUAAUGCAAAGAUACAAAGACAGAAGCCUUCACACGAGAAAAAUACAUCAGGUACAUUUUAAAUGGAAAGCCCCGCCCCAAAUCUAUAACGUCGCUCACAUUUACAGCCAACUUGGAUUAUUUUGGUCCAAUUUUAACAGUUAAAAUAGAAAACGCACAAUUUGAAGAACAAGGUUUGGACCAGUUGCUUUUAAAGGGUUAGCUCAAAAAGAAAAAGUACAGACCUGCCAAGCUCUGCUGCAGAAUGCUAGAUUUGCAUAUUAUACGAGCAUAAUGUUUCCUGUUGCUGCGAGUGCACUACAGAAACAUAGUGCACCUCUUCACGGCAACAGGAACAUAGUGCAUUUGCAGUGUGUGGAAUAGUUUCACUCAACUUAAAAUACAUUGUAGAACGUUUUAGCUGCCAUUGUGUGAGUCUUGAACCAGCACUGGGCCGUCCUCGAAAUGCACUCACAGGAUUCAUAGCUGUGGGCAACCCACUGAGUGACCUUACACUCUGUUUCAUCUUCCUGAUUCAGUUUGUGUUUUAACAGCUUGUGUCACAGAGCCACUAUUAGUCUGACUGUACAGUAUUUGUAUGUGAUUUUUCUUACUCGUGUUAUUUCUCAUCGUGUCCAUGUUAUGUCUCAGUGUUUUUUUUUUCACUACAAAAUACGAUUUCACCACAAAUUUAUAAAACAAAGGCGAAACUAAAUGGUUAGUUUAAAGCAAAAUACAAUAUGUCAAGAUACUUUGAAAUUCGGCAUCAUGCAGAAAAUAGAUUUCUCAUCUAGUGGACAGGAUAUAGCAGUCAUUUCUUUAAAGGGGACCUGUUAUGCUCAUUUCCAGCACCAAAUUUAAAAAAACAAACAACUGCUGACUCUUCUAGAGUAGACGUGCAGGAUUCACAGUACAGAAUAACCCCCACGUAUCUUAUAGAGGGCCCUGGUGCAGCUUCUCAGGACAUCUUUUGUUUAUGCAACAGGCUGUUUUAGCUUUUUUCCCCUUAAACAUACAGAAGGUUUGAACGAAAGGUGGGUGGAGUUCAGGCCUAGUAGUUGGUGCAUUGUAUUGUAAAUUCACUUUGGACAAGUCACAAAAAAAAACAAGCAGGCAUGCAGGCGUCUGCAAGGGCCUUCACGAAAGUAGCGUCACUGGGACCCAAGUGGCCCGAGUGACAUAAAGUAUAAGACCCACAGACACGUUUUAGAAAUCAAUUUCAUAGUGACUUAAUUGCCAAACAAUCUCUAGGCGUAUCCCACUGGGGCCUUUGAUGAGCAUACUAAGACUAUCCACUCUCAGUGACAUCAUACAGAGCCAAGAGCAGAAAAAAACUAAGCAUUUAGGACAGGCUUUGGAUAAAGUAAUUACUGUGGUCUUGUUUAUUAUUAGUGUCUCCCAUUCUAAGAGCAAAUAUAACUGGAAGGAGAUGCAUAACAGGUGCCCCUUUAAUUCAUGUUGUAGAAAUCAGUAAUUGUGUCCAACCUAAACAAUGACUUUGUAGGUAAAUAUGAAAUAAUUUGAACCAUAAUGGGAUCAUUUGAGGAAAAAAAGAGGAUGUUUUAUAAAAGUUUUAAAUUUUUUCUCUUACUUAUGGCUAUCUUUUUUUUUUUUUUUUUUUACCUUUGGUUCAACUGUUGAUUUUACUUUAAAAAGAAGGAGAAAAAAGAAACAGUGCUGUAGACAAAUCUGCUCUGAAGUAAAGACCAAAAGAAUCUAAAUAGUCUAAUAUGUAACAGGAAGUGGAAUUCCUGCAGAAUAAAAGUUUUUCAAGUAAAUGAAAAGUGCUUCAAGGGCCUUGAAAUGCAUAUGGACGAGGUCCAAACGAAAUAUCAGAUAACUCUGAAUUAAUAAAUAAUAAUAUUGAAAUAACUGUUCAACCUUACUGAUUCACUGUUUAAACCACAAAAUUGUUUAGCUAAUCUACACUGCAAGUGGUUCUACAUGCAUGUAGUCUGUUUUUCCAGAUACAGUAUUUAACUCAGCUGAAACAUUUUAAGGUAGAGGAAAACAAACGUUGCUCUGCUGUAAACUCUUGUCUCUGUAAACACUGGUGCGAUACCUGAACGUUACUGCUUAAAAAGGUGGCAGUAACAGGCGACGCAUCAGUCAGCGCUUAUCUACAUGAGCACAAAAAGUGUUUAAAAAAAAACACAAAACAAAAAAACAAACGGAAAUAAAGAACCCACAAAAGAUGUCAGGCUCACUAUAAAGUCUGGAGGUCCAGCAGAGAAUAUAGAGCCACAAUGACAUAUUGCAGCACAGUAUUUCUCAGUGCAUUUUCUUACUUUGACAUCAUAUCACAUAAAGCACGAAAAACAUUGUUCCUACCAUACAGAAAUAUACAAAGCUAGUCUAUAGAUUUACAAUGACAUAAUCAAAACUGUGUGGGUGUUCCACGGGAAAAAAAGCGCAUACUGGAUAUUGCGGUAUAAAACACAGUAUCAAACGACGGCUUCUACAUGUGCAUGAAAGGCUGAUUACCACAUAUCUGAUGCUUUUAGGCUUCACUUAGCAGUCACGUA